AUCAUAUUAGUAUUUGUUUCACAGUAUAUGCCCCAUGUGAUAAAGUCUGGAAGACAUUUAUUUGAUCGUUUUGCUGUAAUAUUCUCAGUGGUAAUUGUAUGGAUUUACGCUCACCUACUUACUGUGGGUGGGGCCUACAAUGGUGCAGCACCUAAGACACAAAAUACUUGUCGUACUGAUCGUGCAGGACUUAUAGAUGCUGCUCCAUGGAUAAG
rnacentral:misc_RNA from 1 species